CUUCUUCCAUAUCACAUCCAUGUCCUCCGUCCUCUUCCCUCCCCCUCCAUCUCUGAAUUCGCCAGCACAGCUCUGCUACUACUUUUUCCUGGACGAAACUGCCCUCCCAAAGCACCAAAAUCGCAAGGGAGUCUUUGCAUUUCACCGUAGUCCAGUCCUGGGCUUUUCGGGAAGAUGAAGAAGGGGCGCUCUGUGAACUGAGGUGAGAAACCGUAUCUGGGUUCAUUGGUGUUUUCGAUCUAAUUACAAGAGUCAGCUUCUUGGUUUCAAAUCCAAGUGUCUUGGUUGAUUUUGAUUUGGGCUACAGGGUUCUUCAAAAGCGCCAAGAUAACUGUAUGGUCUUAGGGGUUCAGCCUGAAGAGGUCAUACUUGCUAAAAUGAUCUAGAAGGGUGUUCUGCGCGCGAUCUGUCAGUCGUGGAGUAGCGUUUCUCUAAUGUUUAGGUGGGGACAAUGAUUUUAACAAAGCAGUACCGUUGCAUACACUCAGCGAGCUGCGUAUGUACAAAAGGGCAUCUGAGUGAAGUUGUGAUUUUCCUAGUUUUUCAGCAACUGAACUGGAAUCCUCAGCUAAUUGCUGCACUGUCCUGUGUAUGCAAAUGGUUUGAUGAUCUUGCCAAGAGAGUACUGUGGAAGGAGUUCUGCAGGACAAGAGCCCCAAAGAUGAUGCUUGAUCUGCAGUCUAGUGGGAGCCACAGUGUUGAUGGCAACUGGAGGGCGCUUGGAAAGCUGCUUAUUUACUGUUCUGGAUGUAACAAAGGAGGCUUGUUCAACAGCAUUCAAAUCCCAGGCCAUUUUGUUUAUAGAACCCGGUUCUCUAGGACUUCUGGGAAAAGUUUUCUCCUACCCCAAUGCAGAACAGAUGUUCUAUAUGUGUCUGACCCUUGUGAACAUCUUGACCAAGGGGAAGAGGGGGAUGUGGGAUUCUUCCGCGGAGUUUUCAAGUCAUUUUCAAUGUCGAAGGUUCGGAAGAUGCUGAUCAAGAGGGAGGCUCAGUUCCAUCCAACUGAAGUGUGUCCUUAUUGCAAAGCGAAACUGUGGAGCAUGCUGCAAGCCAAAAUGAUACCUCAAAGUGCAAGCUGCAGGUUGGGUGCAUAUGAGGAUUGCAUCGAGUAUUAUGUGUGCCUUAAUGGGCAUAUGCUUGGGAUCUGCACCCUCUUGCCGUUGUCCGAUUCAGAAGAGGCAUCUGAGUUUGAGUGACAACUUGAAUGGAACCCAGAUUUCUGAUCAUACAAGUACGAAUUUGUAUGGAUCUCCAUGGAAGAACCUGUUCAGUUGAUCCCUUUAGUGGAAGCUGAAAUUUAUUGCCUGGAAUAUCUCCCAAAAUCAGGAGUGUUCUGCUUCUCAGUCUUUACAUGGACGAAUCCUUCCCAGCAGAGGGUUAGGACUUGGGAGUUGGAAGCUGUUUUAACCUUUUCCUUGGUCGUCUUUUACUUGAAGGUUAUUUUGGAACUUGUAAUUCUGUGUACAACUGUGCAUUGUAUGACUGAAUCGUCCGAUAUAUGGAUUUGAAUGGCAUAUUGGUGUCUGCAAUAUUUACUCCUUUUUUAUAAUUAAUCAAUUGAAUUACUUGUCUCCUUGAAUCUCUCUAGUGAUGUUGACAAAUCAACUUAAACCAUUAUUGCUUUUGUGAUCUUGGUGGCUUUUAAGCCGUUUCUGUUUCUACUUUUUCUGCAGUUUGGCCCAUCAGUUUACUUUUUCUCUUUCACAAAAUCCUUAUCCCUGUCCCUCACCUUCACCCCCAUCCACCACUCUCAAAAAAGGGAAGAGGUAAAUAAAGAGAAGGAAGAAAAUGGGAGUAGGAAGAAAUGGGAGAAGGAAGCAUUAGUGGCAGCUGUGGCGGUGGGUGAAGCUGGGAAGCAGUCUUUGGUUGCUAACAACGGGCUGUAUAACCCUAAUCCUGUUUCUCCAUCCUAGCAUGGAAAUAAUUAUUUUCCUAUUUUUGGCAGGUGACAGGUUGUUUUCUUUGUAGCACCUACUGAACGGAGCAGGGUUAUUUUGAGAUGAAAUGAGCAUUAAUGCCUGGCCAAAGAACAUUGAUAUCAUUGCAGCAGCAUAUCUUUCACAAGAAUUUUAGAUGAACAUUGAUGCCCGAAGUCUCUGAGUGCGCUCAUACAAGAGGAUGCUUAGCAUUGGCCAGGCUAAGGAGGAAGCUUAAUGAUCCCAUCAACAUCAACAUGCAUAGGAAACACUGUUCGGAGUUUGGACUGUGCUGAGCUCAUCAGACCUUCUGACUUCUUGGAGUACAACAAUAAUUGCCAACACAAUCCAAUACCACUUUGCUUUGCCCCACUGCAGCUUCUGCAAAAGGGUAGCAAAGAAAAAGUGAGGCAGCUCUAGGCCUUGUUUCUAGACAACUUCACUCAUUAUUGAAUAAUUAAAUUUUUAGGGUACCUAUGGUUUCUGAGUUUUAGGUAAGUUGUCAUUUCAAAGACGCAAAGAGAGCUACUUUAUGUGACAUUAUGCUAAAUUAUAGGACGAAAAUCUAGAGUUUUUCUCAUUUUAUUAUAAAAAAUAAAUAAAAUAUAAAAUAAUACUCUGAAUAGGAAAAAUUUUUCCAAACUAAUGCUUACGUAAUCUCGCAAUUUCAUGCUGCGAGAUUUAAACUGAUGGCCGCUCUGCCUUCGACGCGUGGCAAGGAGAGAAACAGCUGGCAGGUGACGCGUGGCGAUGCUUGAGGAAAUCUUGCAGCUCCAAGCUGCGAGAAUUAAUGAGGCAUCGAACUGAAACGUGACGCGUGGCUGCGAGAGUUAAUGAGGCAUUUGGUUAAUGGAUUUUAUUGCAAAAUUCGUAUCUCUAAAAUUUGUAUGGUAUUUGGUUAAUGGAUUUUAUUUUUCGCGGUAUAUUUAGUGUCGUGGGUAGUCAAAGUAAGAUUAUUUGUGUAUUAAAAAAAAAUAGCUUGCAUUUAACUGUGCAUGGAAACUAGUGUCAUAGGUGUUUAAGAUUAUUUAUUGUAUCGAGUUUUAAUAAAUCACUUUUUAAUAAAA